GACUGUGUCAACCCCCACAGUGCCUCAGGGCAGAGAGUCUGAUUGGCUGUAUGGCUCAGCUGAGGGUCGUGGCCAACUAGCAGCUAGCGCUAACUUCAGUUGACUGGUUGUCAUGGCGAUGCAUAGGUACCAGGAGUAUACAGACAUGUAGUCUGUCCAAUCAGAGCUUUCUCCCAUGGGGAUGGAACUUGCCCCCCUGGGAUGCCAGCCAAUCAGCAGGUAGGGAAUUUGUGAUUAUUCAAUUUUUUUUAUCUUUAUUUAUUUCUCUAUUGUCUCCCCCUUAUUCCUUCAACUGUUUUCCCCGUUUCUCCAUCCCUGGCCCCGUCCCUCUCCCUGUAUGUGUUCCGUUCCUGUCGAUGGGAGGUGAGCUAGGUUGGAGGGAGGUAGUGAGUCGUGGUAACAGUGUUCUGAGUGGUCAGUACUCUGUAGAGGACGUGAGAGGAGAGGUUGGUCAUCUCUACUGCAGACUAGUGUUCCUGUUUAAUAAAGGACUGGUCCAGUCAGAGAGCUGCCUCACUGACCCCACAACCACAGCAGCCUCCACUCAGAAGAAGAGCAGAAGGAAAGCCCUCUGCCCCUCCCCCUGUGCCCACACAGACACCAGGUGGCACCCUGGCAGUGGAUAAGGGCUUGGUCUGUUGUGCCCACCACAGGGUCAUGGUGGCUGGCCUUGCCAUGCUAGGGGUGGGCUCCAACCACAACAAAGACGUCCUAGUGUCAGUGCUCCUGGUGGGUCUGGGUGGAGGAGGGCUGGAGCUGGACCUGAAGGUGCUGGACCUGAAGGUUGCAUGAGGAGAGGAGGAUGAGAAGGAGGAGAAGAGAGGAAGACCUUGUGAACAAGUAUCAUGAUCUCAUACUUUACUGUAUAGAAAAUAGAAGCAUGUA